CUAUCUGACUGGAUACAGAGAAUUACUGUACAGAGAAUUACUCAUUCUAACAAACAACUCUUUACUCCUUCCACAACUUUUUCUUAAAAAAAAUCUGGAAAGAAAGCUUAUAAGUAAGAUAAAUGGUAUUUAUGAGGAAUCUUUAUGAAAAUCCUAGUUUUAGGGGGUUUAAACUUGCACAGACUUCUACAAGAGAUCACUUUAUUCAAAGGUCUGUAUGCCACAAAUGUUUUAUAACUUGGGUGAUUCCACAGGGACAGUGCAAUAUAUUUGUACUGAUCUUACUCCUUGAACCCACCUUAGCCACUGUCCAAAAAGAGAUUUGUGACUAUGUGGAUUUCUAUUCAGAUCAAAUACAGUUAACUCUGAUAGAGUCCAAAGGCCCCUCAUCUUUUUAAACACAGAAAACAUAGUUUUAUGGAGAUUUCUACUGAAUCAAAGUAGAAAAAUAUAUAUCAACAUUAUUGUGGUGUUUCUGAAAGUUCUGGUAGGUUGUGAAAUCAAAGUUUAACUAUCCUUUCUAGCAGAUUGAUUUUUAAUUUUUUUCCUGGUAUGAAAUCUACAUCUUGUUUUUAGUCAUUUUAAGCCUAUUACACUUAAGCUACAGUGAAUGAUAGAAAGUGCCUUGUUCUGUUGCAGAUCUACCACUUCUUUCAAGAUUAUUAUAUUUCAUCUUUGUCUUGUCUAAGCAAAGCAUGCUCAAUUUCUUUCCUCGCAAGUUACUAUAAUUGACAAGCUUAAUUAGUAUUCUUUCCAGUACUGGGUCCAAGUAGUUUAUGAAGAUGUCAAAGAGCACUAGGCUUAAAAAGGAGCCCUGCAGAACCCCACUAGUGAUCAGUCACUAUGACUGUGAUUAUGAUGUGACCCCAUUCACUUGUAACCCUUUGUGCCCGACCUGUGAGCCAGUUCCUUACCCACCACAUGAUGUGUUUAUCCUGGCGUGUGCUGGACAUUUUGUCCAGAAGGAUAUUGUGAGAGACAGUAUCAAAAGCUUUACUAUAACAGAUGAUUAAAUCACUGAGAUGGGGAACCUUGUCAUGAAAGGAAAUCAAGUUUGUCCAGCAGGACUUUCACCUCAUGAACCUGUGCCAGCUGUGAUGGAUGACUGUGUUGUCCUUCAGGUGUUUUUCAAUAGUUCACAGAAUAAUCUUCUCCUUAAUUUUGCCAGGCACUGAAGUGAGACUGAUAGGCCUGUAGUUAUCAGGGUCAUCCCUCUUGCCCUUCUUGAAAACUGGGACAUUGCCAGCUUUCAGUCAACUGACACCUGUGAUUCUGUGUUUCUGUGAUUAUAUGGUGAUGAAAACAUGUACACAUGUUGUUGCAGCUAUCAUAGCUUCAGCCUUGAGAUGUAUAAAUCAUUUCCCUUUCUCCUCUACCCAUUUAAAAGAUAAGUUACCAUAUUUUCAAUUUAUAACUUAUUGAUUUAGAGCGUUAGAUUUUGUAGCAGCUUCAGAACCAUUCAGUACUAGACAGUAAAUGCAGAAAAUAGGGUUCUAAAUUAAAUAUGAAUAACUACACAUCUGCUUUAUAUCUGUGAGCAGAAUGGACAGUCUAGAACUUGUUCAGUCUAAGGUAGGACACGACAGCAUUCAUUUUCCCAGAGGUCUUGUAAGAUCAGGGCUUAUUUGCCUGAGCAGCUGUGGUGCCUCUGGCUCCAGUGUUACCUGUUUUCCACUUACAGAAUAUGAAAUAUCUGAGUGCCAGUGUGCAAUAUUGAUUUAACGAAAGUAUUCAAGUCUUUUGGAUAUAAAUAGAAGAGAGUGAUUAGGAUUUUAAUUGAUUACAUUGGCAACUCUACCAUUCUGGAAGAAAAAUGCUUAAAUUCACUCGUGUUGAUGUAAAUUUCAAGAAAAAGAAAGCUGAAGUAGGAUAUAUGAAAAUCUUGUUAAUUAUAAAAUAUAUUGUUGUUUAUUCUGCUAUUUGAAUAUAAAUUCUGUUGUCUUUGGUGCAGAUAUAUCUGUUCUUAGUACCUAUGAAAUGGAAAUAUUCUCCUCAGUUUUUAACACCGUAGAUAUUGUUCUGCCCAUUUACAGGCCUAGAUAUAAAUAAGAAACAAAAUUGUAAUGUUUAAAAUUUUAAAUUAAAAUAAAAACUCCCCUGUUAGAUUCAGUUUUGUCUUCUUUCUAAAAUCAUAAAAGGACAAAAUUAUCAUUAAAAAAAGCAGGUUGAAAACUUUUGGAUUUGAGUUUUGGGUUUUUAGCUGGGUAAUGUUGCAGCUGUCACUGUUCUGUCACUUCAGCUGUGCUUUUGAGUGCAAAGUGUUAAUAGUCACUGUAGUAAAGUACCUAUACUCAACACCCCUUACACCAAAGUGUGAGACUUGCCUUGAAUAUGACAUUUCAGAGCAAAAUCCCGAUGAAACAUUUAGGAUUUUCUUUUGUUUUAUUUCUCACAGCAAACCCAAGUUCAGUUUUGGGUAGCAUAUGUGCCAUUCUCCAGUAAGGAAAACACGAGAAGGCAACUGUGGAUAUCUUUUAUUUAGCAAAGUUAAAUCUACAGCUUCUUAAAAUUGUUUCUAGUUAAAUGGCAAGGUAAUAAUAGUUUAAUAGUUUCAGAAUUCAAUUUGAAUAUUUUGUUCAGAGAAUAUUUAAAGUCUCAGACUGACAGUGGUCUACAGCCUUGUAUGUAGAGGAAGCAAUAUGAAUUCCUUUAUGCUUCAGAGCAAAGUUGCAACUGACAGUGGAAGGAAGAGAGCACAUGUUUUGUACAAGCUUAGCCCUUGACCAACAAGACCAUUUUGGGUUGUUAAUGUACUAUAAUGACCACUGUUGCAUGUGCCAACAAUGUCCUUUGCACACUUCAAAGUCAUAUCUUCUUGACAUCAAUCCUAGAAGUAUUUAUGGCAGACUUGUGAGGUACUCUGUGACAAUGCAUUGAAACAUAACAUGCCCUUAAAAAAUUCUGAAGCAAGGCCUCUGAGGUGUACAUAUGUCUCUUUACUCCCUAGCUAGCAAUCAGAAAUCUAGUACCUAAGUUGUUAUUUAAUCUCAGUAAGAGGUCAUAGAGAUGAAGUAUGUGUGCUAUAAGAACUUUACUAGCAUGGCAAAGUAAUAUUUUCUAAUUACUUGUACUGUCUUGAAGUUUAUGAAAUAAAAUACUGAUUCCUGCAAGACUUUCACAGGAGUGUUGGUGGUUGUGGGAAGAAGAUGAUAGUUUCUCUCUCCUAAUGCAGAAAUAUAGGAGAGUUAACGUUCAGCCUGUAUUGCCUAAAUCGGAGAAGUGGUAUUUUGUUACCAACAACAGCAAAACCAAAAGAGGUCACAAGCUUUUAUCCUAAGGGUAUUUCUGAAUAAUGUCACUGUUACAUCUGGCACAGUUGUGUGACAGAAGGUAUCCUGCCAUCACUGACAGAGCAUCCAUCUACUUAUUUUACCCACCAAAGCCAAGUGCCCACCUUGUUGAGAUUGCUGCCAAAUAGUAAAAUGUUCUUUCCAGAAUAUACUACCUAACACUCUUCUACUGACUCCUUGGCUAAGCUGGCUGGUAGUCCAACCCCCUUAUUUCUUUAACUGUUGUCAGUCAGCAUGGACUUCUCUUCAGCAGCAGCUGCCAAACUGAACUCUAAUCAGCCAGGCUUCCUCUUCCUUACCAGUCAGGCACUCAAGAAACAUGUUUGAUUUAGGAUUCUUAGUGGGUUUUUUCUCAAGUGACUUCCCAAUUGGGCCCCUCCAGCCAUGCAGUGAAGGUGCUGUGAAGAAGGACUGAUUGACAAAGCAGGCAAGCUCUGUGAGCUGAUCCUAUUAACGCAAGAAGGCACUGUCCUUCACUGAACAACUGUCAAUGGAACAUGGAUGAAGUGCUGUCAACAUAUUUCUUCACUUUUUAUUGUGAAUUUAUGUACACUUUGGGCACUUGAUGAAGCAACAAAGUAGUUGCAUGUUACAACAUAUGAGUUUUCUGUCUUGGAAAGGUCGUCAUUUCCUCUCUGUGACAUGUAAAUACCGUCUUUUAUGUUACGUGUUCUUCUGUUAGCUUCUUGAGAAAGAAAGGCUGGGUCCACAUAACUUGAAAGAUAAUGAAAUGGGAUGGAGUGAUGUGAAAUGUUAAGAGGCCUUUGAGGAGCCAUGAAAUGAAUGGAAAGAUGAACCUUGCAUAGGUAUCAUUCAGAGGUGAUGUCUACCUUCCUCCCUGUUUCAACAAAUCUGCUCUUUUCCAUUGUUUAAUAAGUGCUGACAAUGAGACAUAUCCUUCCUAUGAGAUGCUCUUCUAAGGAGGAUCAUUGUCCAGAAACAAAGGGAACCUGCAAGAUACCAGCUUGGAUGAUUUACUGUUUCUCUUGUGAAUUAUAAAGUAUGCAGCAGAUCAUGAUCAUCCUGCCAGUGCAGAAGGCAAAUCUGGUGUGUAGGGGAUGCCUGAAGACCCAGUUCAUGGUUAUGUGGCAGAAGUUAAGGAUCCACUGUUUCCAGUAGCUUUGAUGAUUGGAACUGGAGUAAUGUUAGCCACUGGAGCAACAGGGAGGUCAACUGGAUUUAACUUGAUGUCUUAUGUCUCUGCUUAUCUUGAAGCAUUUCAAAUAGCAGUAAUGAAAUUCCAGUUUGUUUGGAAAAAUCAGGACUUUCCUUGCUUACUGCUGGGUGAAGAAAAUAAAGACUUUAAUUGUACUGUUUUCUUCACACACUGGCAUGACUUAGGCCAUAUUCCGAAUUCCACUGUUUUUCUACAUAAAGAGCAACUACUUUUCUCUUGGCUUUUUUCCAAGACACCCAUGCUAAUUGUGUCUUAGGCCUUCAAAUGAAUAAAACACCAGAAGUUCUUAUUCCCAUUUUGUAGUUAGGGUACUGAGACUGUGAGAGACUAAAAUGUUACUGAUUUCAUUAAGUUUUCCUCAGUUAGAAUAGCUAGAAAUUAUUUUCUAGGGUGUUGAAGCAUUUCACAUGUUCUGAGCAUGUGUUAUUUUUUUCAUUUUCAUGUUGUAAGAACUUUUACAGAUCAGAGCCAGAAUCUUCUUUUGAUUGACCAGCAAAUGAGAACUACAUAGUGAAGGACAAACUGGACAAAUUUUGAGUUAAAACAUGUGUUUAACAUCACCUGGAAACUCAGUGGCAGAAUUUGGGCUGGAAUCAGUUUCUGUAGAGCAUUGUUGAGUUUUGUUUCCUUUUCUUUUUCCUUUUAGUCUUGAAAUAAAACACAUAGAUCUUUUAUCAUCAUGUAUCCCUGGUUCAUUCGCUGAUUGUACUCCAUCUGGUGUGCUGAAUGAAGCAGGGUCUUUUGGGAAGAAUACUUUCUGAUUAUGUAAUUAAGGGCUGUAUUGCAGUGCACAUGCACAAGGGGGCAACUUUCUUCUGCUAUGAUUAAAGAAAAGUUGUUUGUCUUUGGAGAACUGAGCUAGUAAUCAGGAGGAAAAAAUAGGAGAAUGAACUUAAGAACUGUUAAAUUAAACUUGCAGUUGUUUUGGAAGGGGGAUAAUUUAUGAAAUAUUUUUUUGAAGUAAAAGGGAUUUCUUUGAGGAUAGGGGUAUGAGGUGAUGUGUUCAAGGAAUAAAAACAGUCUUUUGAGUACAUUUUCUACAGGUUUCGAUUUACUUCAUUGUCUAAGAGAAACUAAUUCUGAAUUUAUUUGCUUUGAAUAACCUGUUACAAAUCUGGAUCUGUGAAAUGCAUAAAUUAUCUAGAAUUCAAUAGUAAUUUCUUGAGGCUGACAGCAGGAAUUUAGUGGUUGGCAGACCAAAAGGUUGAAGGAACCAUUUAUCUGCAGUUGUAAAUUUUAAAUUCUCUCUGAGGAUAUGAUUUACUUCUGCUUGUAGUAGAUACAUGUCAGCAGUCUGUCUUGCUGUGUUACAGCUAUGUGCUCUGCUUGCUUCUUUGCCAACCAUUAGUAUUUGGCUUGCUUACAAAUAAAUGUGACAGACCAAGAGCUUAGAAACUAAGUAAAUGAAGCAGACAAGAAAAUAGACAGGAAGAAGCAGCGUCUUCAGUUUAUGGCUACAAGAUGCAGAGUCCACUACCAACCGCCACAAACUUUGCA